ensembl:lncRNA
GCCAUCUUAGGCAUCGCCUCAUAGAAGAACUACAUCUUCCAGAACCCUCGCGCCCUGCGUCGUGCUGGCACUUUUACCGGCCUGGCCUUAGAGCGGAGCCUGUAGCCGGGCGCCAUCUUUGACGCUGGCACUCUUGGUUUUCUGCUGGUGCUGCUGCUGGGAGGACGACGGACGGCAGCGACCAAGGAAGAAGAAAGACGUGGCAGCAAGCGGGAGUCGGGGAUAGUGUCAACGGUUCGGUAAAGUUUCUGUUCUCUGGGUCCCACUACUUUGGAGCUUGUCUCAAACUCCACAUACAGAAAGCCACCGACCUUAUUCCGGAUUGGUGAAACCGUAAUGAAGAACACCCCUAAACUCC